rnacentral:rRNA from 1 species
GACGAACGCUGGCGGCGUGCCUAAUACAUGCAAGUCGAGCGAAUCAAUGGGAGCUUGCUCCCUGAGAUUAGCGGCGGACGGGUGAGUAACACGUGGGUAACCUGCCUGUAAGACUGGGAUAACUUCGGGAAACCGGAGCUAAUACCGGAUAGUUUCUUUUUUCGCAUGAGAGAAGAUGGAAAGAUGGUUUCGGCUAUCACUUACAGAUGGACCCGCGGCGCAUUAGCUAGUUGGUGAGGUAACGGCUCACCAAGGCGACGAUGCGUAGCCGACCUGAGAGGGUGAUCGGCCACACUGGGACUGAGACACGGCCCAGACUCCUACGGGAGGCAGCAGUAGGGAAUCUUCCGCAAUGGACGAAAGUCUGACGGAGCAACGCCGCGUGAGCGAAGAAGGCCUUCGGGUCGUAAAGCUCUGUUGUUAGGGAAGAACAAGUACGAGAGUAACUGCUCGUACCUUGACGGUACCUAACCAGAAAGCCACGGCUAACUACGUGCCAGCCGCCGCCGUAA